GGCUGAAAGAUGGCGUAAGCUAUCGCUUUUGGAUGGACCCGCGGCGUAUUAGCUAGUUGGUGAGGUAAUGGCUCACCAAGGCGAUGAUACGUAGCCGAACUGAGAGGUUGAUCGGCCACAUUGGGACUGAGACACGGCCCAAACUCCUACGGGAGGCAGCAGUAGGGAAUCUUCCACAAUGGACGCAAGUCUGAUGGAGCAACGCCGCGUGAGUGAAGAAGGCUUUCGGGUCGUAAAACUCUGUUGUUGGAGAAGAAUGGUCGGCAGAGUAACUGUUGUCGGCGUGACGGUAUCCAACCAGAAAGCCACGGCUAACUACGUGCCAGCAGCCGCGGUAAUACGUAGGUGGCAAGCGUUAUCCGGAUUUAUUGGGCGUAAAGCGAGCGCAGGCGGUUUUUUAAGUCUGAUGUGAAAGCCCUCGGCUUAACCGAGGAAGCGCAUCGGAAACUGGGAAACUUGAGUGCAGAAGAGGACAGUGGAACUCCAUGUGUAGCGGUGAAAUGCGUAGAUAUAUGGAAGAACACCAGUGGCGAAGGCGGCUGUCUGGUCUGUAACUGACGCUGAGGCUCGAAAGCAUGGGUAGCGAACAGGAUUAGAUACCCUGGUAGUCCAUGCCGUAAACGAUGAAUGCUAGGUGUUGGAGGGUUUCCGCCCUUCAGUGCCGCAGCUAACGCAUUAAGCAUUCCGCCUGGGGAGUACGACCGCAAGGUUGAAACUCAAAGGAAUUGACGGGGGCCCGCACAAGCGGUGGAGCAUGUGGUUUAAUUCGAAGCAACGCGAAGAACCUUACCAGGUCUUGACAUCUUUUGAUCACCU
rnacentral:rRNA from 1 species